AUUGAACGCUAGCGGCAGGCCUAACACAUGCAAGUCGAACGAAGCCUUCGGGCUUAGUGGCGGACGGGUGAGUAACACGUGGGAACGUACCUUUUGGUUCGGAAUAACGCAGAGAAAUUUGCGCUAAUACCGAAUGAGCCCCUAGGGGAAAAGAUUUAUCGCGGAAAGAUCGGCCGGCGUUGGAUUAGGUAGUUGGUGUGGUAAAGGCGCACCAAGCCUACGAUCCAUAGCUGGUCUGAGAGGAUGAUCAGCCACACUGGGACUGAGACACGGUCCAGACGCCUGCGGGAUGCAGCAUUGGGGAAUCUUGCGCAAUGGGCUAAAGCCUGACGCAGCCAUGCCGCGUGAGUGAUGAAGGUCUUAGGAUUGUAAAAUUCUUUUACCAGUGACGAUAAUGACGGUACCUGGAGAAAAAGCCCCGGCUAACUUCGUGCCAGCCGCCGCCGUAAAAC
rnacentral:rRNA from 1 species